CUGAUAUGUCGUUUGCAAAUAUCUUCUCCCAUUCUGUCAGUUGUCUUUUGAUUUUGUUAACUGUUUCCUUUGCUGUGCAAAAGUUUUGAUCUUGAUGAAAUCCCAAUAGUUCAUUUUUGCCCUUGCUUCCCUUGCCUUUGGCGAUGUUCCUAGAAAGAUGUUGCUGCAGCUGAGGUCGAAGAGGUUGCUGCCUGUGUUCUCCUCAAGGAUUUUGAUGGAUUCCUUUCGCACAUUGAGGUCCUUCAUCCAUUUUGAGUCUAUUUUUGUGUGUGGUGUAAGGAAAUGGUCCAAUUUCAUUUUUCUGCAUGUGGUACGAGAAGAAUAAAUGAAACAAGAUGGGAUUGGGAGGGAGACAAACCAUAAGUGACUCUUAAUCUCACAAAACAAACUGAGGGUUGCUGGGGGGAGGGGGUUUGGGAGAAGGGGGUGGGGUUAUG
rnacentral:lncRNA from 1 species